rnacentral:rRNA from 1 species
GAUGAACGCUGGCGGCGUGCCUAAUACAUGCAAGUAGAACGCUGAAGGAAGGAGCUUGCUCUUUCCGGAUGAGUUGCGAACGGGUGAGUAACGCGUAGGUAGCCUGCCUGGUAGCGGGGGAUAACUAUUGGAAACGAUAGCUAAUACCGCAUAACAGUAGAUGUUGCAUGAUAUCUACUUAAAAGGUGCAAUUGCACCACUACCAGAUGGACCUGCGUUGUAUUAGCUAGUUGGUGAGGUAACGGUUCACCAAGGCGACGAUACAUAGCCGACCUGAGAGGGUGAUCGGCCACACUGGGACUGAGACACGGCCCAGACUCCUACGGGAGGCAGCAGUAGGGAAUCUUCGGCAAUGGACGGAAGUCUGACCGAGCAACGCCGCGUGAGUGAAGAAGGGUUUCGGAUCGUAAAGCUCUGUUGUAAGAGAAGAACGAGUGUGAGAGUGGAAAGUUCACACUGUGACGGUAUCUUACCAGAAAGGGACGGCUAACUACGUG